rnacentral:lncRNA from 1 species
ACCCCCGACCCUACUCGUACACCGAUACAACUUAAACCCCUUACCCCUUACUCUCUACACCAGAUACAAUACACCCCCUGUACCCUAACUCUCGACACCAUAUACAAACUAAACCCCCUGUACCCCUACUCUACAGAUACAACUAAACCCCCUGUACCCCGACUCCCCUACUCUACACCGGAUACAACUAAACCCCUGUUACCCCUACUCUACAACCGGAUACAACUAAACCCCCUGUACCCUACUCUCUACACCAGAACAACUAAACCCCCUGUACCCCUACUCUCUACACCAGAACAACUAAACCCCCCCCCUGUACCCUACUCUCUACACCAGAUACAACUAAACCCCCUGUACCCCUACUCUACACCGAUACAACUAAACCCCCUGUACCCCUACUCUACACCGGAUACAACUAAACCCCCUGUACCCCUACUCUCUACACCAGAUACAACUAAACCCCCUGUACCCCUACUCUCUACACCAGAUACAACUAAAACCCCCUGUACAACCCUACCCUCUACUACAACCAGAUACAACUAAAACCCCUGUACCCCUACACCUGGUACCACCCUACACUCUUCACCCUUCAGCAACGGCUACAACUAAACUCACCAAACUACACUCUGUACCCCUACCCUCCAUUGCCCACACCACUAUCCUGCCCUGAGAAGGAGAGUAGAGGACACAAUGGCAAGAGCGAGAGGAAAUGGCAAAGGAUGAUAGGUCAGAGAAAGUAGCAUUUCUUUGGUAGAGUGUGCUCCAUCUGACAGAUUGAGAAUUUUUUUUUUUCAUGAAAGAAAUGCAAAGUAAUACACAGUGGGGAGAACAGGUAUUUAUAACCUGCCGAUUUGCAGUUUUCCUACUUACAAAGCAUGUAGAGGUCUGUAAUUUUUAUCAUAGGUACACUUCAACUGUGAGAGACGGAAUCUAAAACAAAAAUCCAGUGUAUCAAAUACUUGUUCUCCCCACUGUGUUGUGUGUGGUGUGUAUGUAUAUAAGAUAUGUAUAUGUAAGUAAGGGAUAAGGUACUGUAGAAGUAAGGAAUGAAGACGCCAAAGUUCUGCGCAUUAACCUUGGAAAAAAUGGAGGACAAGGCAGAGCCGAGUCUCUUUGCGGGGGUCAUUUUUCUAAGAUGGUGUACAGAACGUCGGCGUCUAUCCCGCUUAUACAACAGUUCCCACAAUUAUUUUGUUAUAAGACAAUUCAUGCUUCUUAUCUUUUGGUUGCUAGAGACGUGACCCGUCGGUCGUUCAAUACUGUCCUUCUUAUCUUUGCUGUUAACUAGCCAACUAGCUACGGCUAACACAGUCACGACGUCGGCAGCCAGAAUAACAGCAAAGUAGCUGGAUUUUUGCAUUUUUUUAAGCUGUUUCUAGUGACAUUCAUGUGAUAAUGAGCUGAUGAUCCCCCCCCCCCCCCCACCAAACAAAACCUGGCAUAGUGCCUUCUCCUCA